AUUGAACGCUGGCGGCAUGCCUUGCACAUGCAAGUCGAACGGCAGCACGGGGCAACCUGGUGGCGAGUGGCGAACGGGUGAGUAAUGCAUCGGAACGUACCUUUCAGUGGGGGAUAACGUAGCGAAAGUUACGCUAAUACCGCAUAUUCUGUGAGCAGGAAAGCAGGGGAUCGCAAGACCUUGCGCUGAUUGAGCGGCCGAUGUCAGAUUAGCUAGUUGGUGAGGUAAAGGCUCACCAAGGCGACGAUCUGUAGCGGGUCUGAGAGGAUGAUCCGCCACACGGGAACUGAGACCAGGUCCGGACUCCUACGGGAGGCAGCAGUGGGGAAUUUUGGACAAUGGGGGCAACCCUGAUCCAGCCAUGCCGCGUGAGUGAAGAAGGCCUUCGGGUUGUAAAGCUCUUUCGGCCGGGAAGAAAUCGCACGGGCUAAUACCCUGUGUGGAUGACGGUACCGGAAUAAGAAGCACCGGCUAACUACGUGCCAGCAGCCGCCGUAAUAC
rnacentral:rRNA from 1 species